CUGAUAACUGGGGUGAAGUCGUAACAAGGUAGCCGUAUCGGAAGGUGCGGCUGGAUCACCUCCUUUCUAAGGAA
rnacentral:rRNA from 2 species